GGUCCGUGGCGAUUGAUAUUUGGUCUCGUUCGUCGUAAUUGGCAUUCAUUUCCCUUGCCGACCAUCCCGCUGAAUCACCACCCAUAUUCUGAGUCU
rnacentral:snoRNA from 3 species